rnacentral:tRNA from 1 species
UUAUUCAUAGCUCAACUGGAAGAGCAUUUACCUUGUAAGUAAGGGGCUGUAGGUUCAAUCCCUACUGAGUAAA